rnacentral:rRNA from 1 species
UGGUAACCACUUCUUUUAGACCAUAAACCAUAAUGACCACACAAGGCUUCCACUCUCUCCUUUACAUUGCCCCACGUGACGAUUAGCUAGUUACUAAACUAACCACCUCACCAAGGCAACGAUCCCUAGCUAGUUUGAGAGGAUGAUCACCCACACUGGAACUGACACACGGUCCAGACUCCUACGGGAGGCAGCAGUGGGGAAUAUUGCACAAUGCGCCCAAGCCUGAUGCAGCCAUGCCGCGUGUGUGAAGAAGGCCUUCGGAUUGUAAAGCACUUUCAGUCAGGAGAAAAGGUUAUUACUUAAUACCUGCUAGCUAUGACGUUACUGACAGAAGAAGCACCGGCUAGCUCCGUGCCAGCAGCCGCGGAAAUACGGAUGGUGCGAACGUUAAUCGGAAUUACUGGGCGUAAAACGUACGCAGGCAUGUUGGUAAUCGAGAGCUUAAGUGGCCGGGCUUAACCUGGGAACUGCGUUUCAGACUGGUCAACUAGAGUGUGAUAGAGGGUGGUAGAAUUUCAGGUGUAGCGGUGAAAUGCGUAGAGAUCUGAAGGAAUACCGAUGGCGAAGGCAGCCACCUGGGUCAACACUGACGCUCAUGUACGAAAGCGUGGGGAGCAAACAGGAUUAGAUACCCUGGUAGUCCACGCCGUAAACGAUGUCUACUAGGAGCUGGGGUCCUUCGGACAACUUUUCCAAAGCUAACGCAUUAAGUAGACCGCCUGGGGAGUACGGCCGCAAGGUUAAAACUCAAAUGAAUUGACGGGGGCCCGCACAAGCGGUGGAGCAUGUGGUUUAAUUCGAUGCAACGCGAAGAACCUUACCUACACUUGACAUACAGAGAACUUACCAGAGAUGGUUUGGUGCCUUCGGGAACUCUGAUACAGGUGCUGCAUGGCUGUCGUCAGCUCGUGUUGUGAGAUGUUGGGUUAAGUCCCGCAACGAGCGCAACCCUUAUCCUUAGUUGCACAGCGAUUCGGUCGAGGAACUCUAAGGAGACUGCCGGUGAUAAACCGGAGGAAGGUGGGGACGACGUCAAGUCAUCAUGGCCCUUACGUGUAGGGCUACACACGUGCUACAAUGGCAUAUACAGAGUGCUGCGAACUAGCGAUAGUAAGCGAAUCACUUAAAGUAUGUCGUAGUCCGGAUUGGAGUCUGCAACUCGACUCCAUGAAGUCGGAAUCGCUAGUAAUCGCGGAUCAGAAUGCCGCGGUGAAUACGUUCCCGGGCCUUGUACACACCGCCCGUCACACCAUGGGAGUGGGUUGCUCCAGAAGUGGAUAGCUUAACCUUCGGGAGGGCGUUCACCACGGAGUGAUUCAUGACUGGGGUGAAGUCGUAACAAGGUAGCC